CACAGGCAGCUGCAGCUCGUUUCAUUAAAGUGGACGUGCGGGUGUGACAAGGUGAUUAACCAAACGCAGCUGGCCACCAUUUAGACUUCUACGCUCGACGUCUCUUCAGUCUCGUCCUGAAUAGGCGCCAUGGACCAGCUCGUGUUUUACUCUCUCUAGUUCAAGAGACAUUUUUCUGCCUGCAGACUUUUCGCUUCCUCUGUUUUUGUCUUCUAACCAUGGACUACGUCAGUCUGAGCUGCCUGAUCUGUCUCAACAAAUACAGCAAGUUUUUUGAGAUAAAGAACCAUGUAUGCACAGGGCAACAUCGACAGAAAUUCAAAGCAGUCUUUCAGGAAGAACAGUCCUAUUCUAAAGCAUGGGUUCCCUACAUAGGUUUUUUGAACCCGCAGAACCUCAACCAACUCAAAGUAGGUGUGUCUCUACUAACGGUGUAUUACUGUACAGAGUCAGAGACUUUUUUUUACCUGUGCCAUGUGUGUGAGGAGAAGUAUGGACCAGUUGGGAUUUUUUCCCAUCUCUUUUCUACUGACCAUUGUAUCAAAUACUUUUGCUACACAGACCCAAAUUUACUGAGUUUCUCCUGGAUGCCCAGCAUGGAUAUUAGUUCCAUAUUGAGGCCUUGGAUCAUAAAGGAAUCGAUUAAAAAGGAGUCUGGAACUUUGCAGUUUUUGAACAUACCUGAAAAUCUGAAAAAGAAGUUUGAUGCUUGUUCUUACUCUGAAGUGAUGGACACUCUGAGAGGAAACUACAAGCUCCUCAAGAUCUUUGAAGCUGUCAAACCACAGAGGAUAAUGAUCCAAACAUACCAGAAAGAUGGCAACAGAGCGCACCAACUCCUUGGUUUGCAACACCUUGUUGAAUGCAUUUGUGUGGGACAGACGGACAAGCGGUACUACCUUUGCACGCUCUGCAAACAAACUGUGGCCACCAACAUGAUCAUCGCUCACGUCCUGAGCUUUGACCACAUCCAUAGUUAUUUUGAAGUGAAGCUUCCCUCUACUCUGCUGCCAAAAGAGAGCUACAGUUACUCCAACUCCCUCGUCAACACAAUGAUUGAUCUCGCAAAGCGGACAGACGAUAAGGAUGGAACCGCAAACGCUGAAAUGAAGCAAGUGAGCCUGGAUCCUGCUGAAUUUGCGUCAGUGAAUUUCACUUGUUAUGAAGAAGCUUUGCAGAAGCUAGAAUCCAUCACCAUGGAAAAGAAUGGAAGAAGCUUGAUUACACACAAAUGUUGCAGCGUGUCGGUAAAGUCUGAAGCACCACUGUACAAACUGCACUGCCAGAACUGCAAAGUCCUCUUUGAAACAGAGUCCAAGUAUAUGAAGCAUUUGUCGGAGCAGACACACACUCGGAUGUGGGAGAAACUCAAAGAAGCUGUAGGCUCUCAAUGUUAUGAGCAAAGAGUAACUGUCAAUUUCAAUCUGGACUUGUGCUUGUAUCUCCGAGAGAGUAUGAAACAAAAUGAACCAGUUGUUGGUGUGUCCCUGGUCGUGGCAUGUGUGAGCUCUCGAGUCCAUGUCGAGCCCAUCUACAUUUGCUUUGCCUGUCAGAACUGUUUCCCAGAGUCUUUUCUCCGGCAACACUUUAAAUCACAGAAACAUGUCAUUCUUACCUUACUCUACCAGAAUCCCUGGCGGCUUCCUUUUGCCUGGAAGAGUCCUCAGGAUUUAAAAGCCCUGAAGACGAUGGCCUGGGAAGAGGCAAAGGCAAGAGGACCAGAUGACAUGAUUCUCAAGGCUUUUGAUAUCCCCUACUCGGUAUUUCACUGCCUCAUCCCACCAAAUUACGAAAAAGUGAUGAAGGCACUUGUAUUAUUCCACGUUUACUUGAUGAAUAAAGUUCCACAGUGUGAGACGUACAGCAGACUCCAGCAAAAUGAGAGAUUUCCUCUCCUCGGCAAACAGUUCCUGGUCAUUCAUGCAUGUGGGACUAAAGUGGGGUUCGUGUGCUUACUGUGCGAGCAAACAAUGAUGGAUGAUGAAUUUUACGCCCAUGUGUUCAGCUGGAAACAUGUUGCAACAUUUCUGAACCGGUUCCACCCAGGUUCGCUGAGUGGAAACACUGACACUGCAACCUUACUGGACUUGGCAAAACAGGCGGCAAAUCUUCACCCCACAUCUAAUGAACAGGGGAUCAAUUUGGACACGCCCAUCUGCAUGCCAUGCCCCUAUGAAACAGUGGUAGAAAUCCUGGAAGCUGCAAAAAGACAACACGGGGGAGGACAGCUUGAACCCACCAUAGCCCCUCGCUACAAGCUGUCCCCCAGACAAUCUCUAAUACAGGUGGGCAACAACACCGUGAGAGACAACACACAGGAAAACAGUGGGGCUGUGGUGGAAUUGGAGAAAAAGAACUGCGUUAAAUCAACUGACAAGGAAGACACCAUAGAAAAGGUGUCAGUUGAACCCAGUUCUAAAAUCAUCAUAAAAUGCAGCCUGAAAAGUGAUGAAGCCAGCAAGGAGACUCCCACGCCAUGUGGUGCACGCCCAGAAAAGACAAAAGAGGUGUAUUCAAAACCGUGUCCAGAUGGAGUUCAGAAUGCAGUCAAGGAGACAAGCCAGCGGUUAAAGGAAGAGGUAGCAGAAGACACAAAGGUACAGAUGGAAAAGGACAUAAAGAAGGAAGUAACGGAGGAGUGUAUAACAAGAGAACAAAUUUCAGAGGUCCCACAAAGCUGCCAGAACACAGUCGGCAGUGAACGCACAGAGGCUGAACAAGAAAGUAGCAUAACUAGCAAGGACGUCCCAACACUGAGGGAUGUCGUGUACAGCAACAACGACAGAAAGAGGCCACACAGCUCGUCUGACAAAUCCGAGGGUCUGGAGGGAGAGAUUGCACUUAAAAGACAAAGAAUGAACGCUGAAGAAGACUCCCCUUCGAAAAAAUCACAAAAUAUGCUAUGUGGUGGACAGACACUCACAGCCACCAUCAACCAGAGAGAGAAUAUCGAACUAUGUCAGAAGACUGCCACGACCCAAGUGUCUUCGGACAAGGAAGUGCUCCGACCAAGUCGACUUUGGAAUUAUAUCAAAAACAUGAACCGGGAGCCUGUGAUUGGCUUAAGUGCGCUGCUCGAAUGCCACAGUGAUCAGCAUAAUCCAAUCUACCUCUGCCAGAGCUGCGAUGUGAAGCGCAGAGAUAGCCGCAUCAUCUCCCAUGUCAGUAAUUAUGAACAUCACAAGAACUAUAUGAUGAAGAUACAGAAAAUCUCAUCUCAACAGGAGAGGAACAUGAGCAGGAAGAACAUCAGACAAUUGGCUGCUUCGGUGGAACAAACUGAAGGAUUUGGAGAGGCCCAGGUUAUUGAUCUGGAUGAAAACAUUUACCAGCUCAUCUCAAGUCAGGAAUUUAAUUUAGCCAUACAGACUGUCAAGGAGGUUCAGGCUCAACAGGACGGCAAACAUGUUUUCCUUUUAACUUCAGCUCUGCAAGAUACUCAUUCUCACGCUGAGGUCAACUUCCAGGUGGAGGAGAUGGAUUCAAGUGAUUCAAACUCUGAGACUAAACCAUCCUCCGUAACUGCACCCAUGUCUGUCGUGAUUGGAAGCACUUCCAAAGAAGUCCCUCCUGAAUCAGAAUCAAAAGUUUCUGUUUCCAAAAGUGUUCAAGAUGCAUCCAGUGUUCAUGUGUCCAAAAGCAGGACAACCAUGGCCAGGUUGCAUUCUGACUCCACAGAAAAUAACAGUCAUAAUAAAAUCGCUCAGAAUACGACUUUCAAACCUUUAGUAACAGAAACCACUUCCAAUAUGUUGGCCAUGUGUCCUCGAAACACUACAAUGACCGUAAGUGCACGUCCAGUCAGCAUGUCCAGCUGCACUGCAGCCACCACCUCUUUGGGAAAAACAACCUACAAAUGUUUAUCUGCCACUGAUGGUACCACCAAACUGACUGCAGGCAACCCCAGCUCUAGUGCAAACACCAUAUCAGCCUCACCAUAUCACCAUAUCAGUCUCACAGGAACCACCUCUACGUCCAAUGUGGCCGCCUCGGGCAAAGCCUCAACCACAAAACCCACAUUGUCAAAACCCCUGAAUAGCACAAAUGAAACAUGGUCCAAAAUGACAGAAGAAGCCUCAAGUAAACCUGUACGCAUUUCUCAAACUGGAUCCACUGCGUUCCAUGAAACCGCUUGUAUGUCUGCACACUCUGAAAAAGCAUCUCAAACUAAAGUGACGCACUCUAAGGCUAAAACAUCAGUGACAAGUGAAAAUAAUAAAGCCUGUGCCAAGGCGGCGCGUAUGAAGACUGUGAAGGAUGCAAGUGCUGACAUUGCACCACGUGCUUGUGUGAGUAAUCCACCUGCUGCUCCCCUCGAAGCACCGGCCACGUCUGUCAAGUCAGGACUCGUCAGUCCAUCCGCGGAGCCGUCACAUACCCACACAAUGAAGAUUAAGCCAAAAGAAAACCGACGUACAGUUGGCUUUUAUGAGCUGAUCUUGGUGAAUUGUGAAAAGAGGCGACAGGUGUACUGUAAACUGUGUUCCAAGCGGAUGACUGACUCCGCACAUACCUCUACUUUGACCCACCAAUCUAAUUAUGUGAAUAAGCUGUACGGGCCCAACAUUGAGACGACUCAUUUUGAGAAGAUCAUCGCGCACUUGGCUGAAGCUGAAAAGUAUGCUGGAAAUCGAAAGGACCAGAUUAACAGUCAGAGCGUGGAAGUGAAGAAUGAUGUGUACCUAGAGCUGGCUGCUCUCCCUGAUGACAAAGCCAUAGAAAAACUGCAAGACAUUCUAAGACAGAAGGCCUUGCAGGUGCCAUCAGUCUCCACAAGUGAUAAUGCACAGGUGAAACUGCAAGUUGUCGGUUCCAGUCGCUGUGAGGUUUCAAGCCCAGAUGAUGGGAUCUGCGUGCCACUGAAUCAAACAUCUGGACUUUCUGUGACAAAUCAGCCAGUGCAGGAGAACGUACAUGUGACGGAAUCACCCUGUGCAUCGGAAUUGAGAUCGAAUUUGAAAGAGCAGGCCGAUCAUUCAGGUGGAGCUCCGAGCGGGACUGAAAAAGGCCCAGGACCCAGUGACCUGACUCCAGAGCAGGUUCAGCCUUUUUUGCUAUUUAAAAGUGAUCCAGACCCCAUCCCACCUCCUAGCAUUCAAGAGGCAGACACAACAGUUUUAGUCCCAGUCAAACAGGAAAGGUUUGAUCCAUUUUUUGAUGCCCCGGCUCAUAUUGAAGUCAUGCCUGCUGUUCAGAGACCUGUCCCAGUGGAGCACCCUCAAUGUUGUGCACAUUCUAUUGCCGCUCACUCUACACACACAUCACUGGUAACGUCCAUCAAACAAGAGCCACUGUCUUUAGAUCUGCUAAGAACAGAGCGGGAGAACGAACGGAGGCCCAGCCUCACAGAGGAACAUGUACCAGCCAUGUUUGUCCCAGGACCUGAGCAGCACAGUGCAUCAGUGCAUCAGGUGCUCCCAAGGACAUCAGAAGGGGCUGCAAAUCAGAGCUGCAUGGAAAGACUGGACCCUGAGCCAGUCAUAGGUCUAGGUUUUGUGUGGAAGUGUCGAGGAACGUCUGGGAAUACGUUCUACUUGUGUGAGAGCUGCGAGAAGACGUUCUCCACCAGUCACAUCGCACAUGUGUCGAGUCCUAAUCACUGGUAUAAAUACAUUCGAUGGCAGCACCCCAGUUUUAUGAGCUACUGGGAAGGUGAUCAUCCUCUCGAGAGGAAAUUGAAAGCUUUGAGGGCCACUGCUGUUUGCUUAUCACUGCGUGAGAGUGAUGUAACUGUGCAGGACGUUCCUCUGGGGCCUGAGCUGUAUGAACAUGUGCACCGCGCUCCGUUCGGUGAAGGUAGCAGUGGGUAUAAGUUAAAGUCAUUGCAGACUUUUGUGGGAAUAUACAAUAAUCAACCGUGCUGAUUUUUGUCUUUCCAGCUUUACAAAUCGCUCAACAUAUUAAGAAAGAAGAGAAUGGGAGCAGCAUUUAGACUAAGCUAGACAAACAGAAACACAUCAAGAGAUGGUGAAGGCUGGAGAUGUGUCCAGAAUCUCCUCAAAGGUGGACCUCCACUUAUAUCUCCAUAUAUCUCAUGGUACUGGCACCAGUCUAGAAGCCCAUAGGAGCCAUAUUUCACUGCCACAGCUCAGACCACCAGUCUUCUCACAACAAAACCCUCAUGCCAUGUUGCAAAUGAAACACAGUGGGGUGAACUCAGAACCCCAGACUUUUCAUCCCACUUGUCAACAACGUUGCAUUGAAAGUCUCAGCCAUGUUUUGGUCUGUUUGUUUACUCAUAUCAACAAAGGUGCAUUGUUCCUUUUGGAUUUUAUCUGGAAGAUGAAGGAGAUAACGCACAUAUGUUAUCUCUUAACUGCUGAAACUGCCAUUGGAACAAAGUCUUUAUUUUCCUCAAAACUCAUUUUGUGUUUUCAUAAUAGUCUCGUCACGGCAAUUCUAAUUUAUUACAUGGGAUGGUGACAAUCUUGCUUUGUUUUAGAAUUUUGUUAAUAUUUGUCUUUUAGUUUAUUAAUCCUUUUUAGUUAAUGGUUUAUCACUUGAAUGAUAAAGGAAUUUACUGAUGUCACCAUCUAGUUUUCACUGUGUUCAUAUGUAUAGAGUUGUUUACAUAUGUCGAUCUACUGUCUGUUACAGUUGAGAAGAUGCAUUCAGUACAAACGCCCUAAGGAAGUGACUUUUUAAAAUUAUUUUUGAUAAAUUUCAGUGAGGUUUUGAAAUCAGUUUAAAACUAUUGUUGACUGAAUAGGAAGCCACAAUUUGGGGGGUUUUGUGAAUUUUCACAUCACAUUUUCAGCAUUUAUGUACUGUGCUUUUGGAUGUAGUUUUAUAUUUGUCUUCAAUUAAAUAAAAGAAAAUUGAGAUUU